rnacentral:rRNA from 1 species
UACGUAGGGUGCAAGCGUUGUCCGGAAUUAUUGGGCGUAAAGAGCUCGUAGGCGGUCUGUCGCGUCUGCUGUGAAAACUCGGGGCUUAACCCCGGGCCUGCAGUGGGUACGGGCAGACUAGAGUGCGGUAGGGGAGACUGGAAUUCCUGGUGUAGCGGUGAAAUGCGCAGAUAUCAGGAAGAACACCGGUGGCGAAGGCGGCCUGCUGGGCAGUUUAGCUGACACUGAGGCGCGACAGCGUGGGGAGCAAACAGG